rnacentral:rRNA from 1 species
GACAUAUUCCGGUUGAUCCUGCCGGAGGUCAUUGCUAUUGGAGUCCGAUUUAGCCAUGCUAGUUGCACGAGUUCAGACUCGUAGCAGAUAGCUCAGUAACACGUGGCCAAACUACCCUAUGGACCUGGACAACCUCGGGAAACUGAGGCUAAUCCGAGAUACAGUUCGCAGCCUGGAAUGGCGUGAACUCGAAACGUUACGGCGCCAUAGGAUGUGGCUGCGGCCGAUUAGGUAGACGGUGGGGUAACGGCCCACCGUGCCGAUAAUCGGUACGGGUUGUGAGAGCAAGAGCCCGGAGACGGAAUCUGAGACAAGAUUCCGGGCCCUACGGGGCGCAGCAGGCGCGAAACCUUUACACUGCACGAGAGUGCGAUAAGGGGACUCC